rnacentral:tRNA from 1 species
GGGGAUUUAGCUCAGUGGUAGAGUGCUUGCCUAGCAAGCGCAAGGUCCUGGGUUCAGUCCCCU